rnacentral:lncRNA from 1 species
ACAUCUUAAAUGUUUCACCCAUCAUUGCUCUCUAGAGUAUCCUAUUUGUUACAACACCAGGCAUCCUCAGAUGCCAGGAAAAAAAUACCUCUCAAUCUCAUUGCUUUUUUUCAAAAUUUCUUUAUUCAUGGAUUGGCUGGUGUACUUUGUGUAGUGAUGAGCUAUGUAUAAGCUUCCUAUGCUGAGCUAUUUAGUAUUUGUAAUAUGCAUCUCUGAACAAAUAUCAUCCUCAGUUCUGCUCCUGAGAAGUCAGCUGAGAGAUUCUUGUAGUGAAUGAGCAGUGGAAAUGUGCACCGUACUUCAUAGAAGUCUAUAAAUCAACUGUACCUUUAGAAUAGAGUCAUCGCCUUCCACUCAACUUUUCUUCUUACAAUGAAGAUAAGAGGUUCCUCGCUACAAACAAAGGACCUGGAAGAAAAGAUGAGACUGGGACUCCGGACCCUAAGCAGCAGAUGGAUCUUUGUCAGUCUCUGGACACACUCUGGAAAUUACUGUAAGGCAUAUAAUUGGUAUAGUAAAAAUGAAGUAAAUAUUCACAAAUACUUGGCAAUGAGAUUGUCUUCACAAAAGUACCUGCCAGAUUGUUCAAUGUGAACAAAUAAACGUCUAAAUAACAUUCUGAAUAACCUCUAAAGAAACCUCUACCUUCAGCUAGAAAUGAUGGUGUGCAUUCUCAGGCGAGAGGGUUCUCUUCCUCAGAGUUUUGUGGAGUUUAGAGAGUAUCCCAAACACAACCAUUAUUAGGUUGCAACAUUCACCAUAGCUUUUGCUAAUUAACGUAGAGGGACCUUCAGUACUGUAUUUUUUUACUUUUCCCCUACUUUAGAAAACAUCCACAACAGUUUCCUUUCGAAGUUUGGCCAGGCUCCGUUUUUCUACUGUCAAUAUAACCUUAGGCACAUGUUGUAAGGUUGUCAGUAGUGCCCUUUAUACCUGGGAUGCCAUCCAUCUUCUCACAUCUGAGGUGGUAUGGGGAUAUCUGUAUUCCUCAACCAAUCACUAUUCCUCAACCAGCGUGAAUGCGAAGGACAAAGCCGGGAGUCAUGAAUAUUCUAAGUAAGGGAACGGAGUUGAAACAUCAGGAAGAAAGAGAGAGAAUUUAAAAUGUUCUGUUUUUCAUAUGUUUAAAAAUCUGAAGAUCUGUCACUUGCUGCGGAUAUUCCUUCCAAAUGGGCCGUAGUUAUUUUUCUGAGCAGAGGAACGCCUGUGAGCUCUUCCAAAAGGUCUGUCUCACUGCAUGCUGUGGCAGUGCUGUUCAUUUUGCUUUUACUGUUCAAUAUGUAUUAAAAAUAUAUUAGAGAGAGAGUGCGCUGCCUGGAAUGUGAUGUUUGAAGCAUGCAGAUACCGUUUGUUUUCUUUUGGGCUCUG